UUUUGUACGGUUUUGAUCUUUAUGAUUUCUUUUUCUUCUUUCCAACGUGGACACGAUCGAGAGUACACCGGGUGGUUGCCCUGGCAGUUGGCACAACGGUACUCAUUGCUGCAAGUCUCUGGCGAAUGGUCUUUGCCAGAGCACUUUGGGCAGGUGGAGUGUCCGCGGCAGACAAGCGAACUGUGCCCAAAAUGCUGGCACUUGAAACAACGUCUUGGGUUUGGAAUGUAUGGUCUGACAUUGCAACUGAGAGACCACGCCCUGCUCACUCAGUCCAUCUUCAAUCUCAGAUUCUGUGCAUUCCAGGAGUUCAUCUUCUGAUAUUACACCUUUGGUUAUGUUCAGUGUGCGGUGUACGUUAACACUUACAGUGCAGCAGGCGUGUCGCCCACCAUGGAGCCCAACUUAG